UACAGAGGUCUCAAGCGUUGUUCGGAUUCAUUGGGCGUAAAGGGUGCGUAGGCGGCGGGGCAAGUCAGGUGUGAAAUCCCGGAGCUCAACUCCGGAACUGCACUUGAUACUGCCUUGCUAGAGUACUGGAGAGGAGACUGGAAUUUACGGUGUAGCAGUGAAAUGCGUAGAUAUCGUAAGGAAGACCAGUGGCGAAGGCGAGUCUCUGGACAGUUACUGACGCUGAGGCACGAAGGCCAGGGGAGCAAACCGG
rnacentral:rRNA from 1 species